rnacentral:ncRNA from 1 species
UUCAUACGACUGGCGGACAGUGGACAAAACCACAGGGAGUAUGAAUAUAUUGAAUUUGUCGACCGCCUGGGCAGUCC